UAUGGAGGAUCCGAGCGUUAGAAGGAUUUAGGGGGUUUAAAGGGAGCGUAGGCGGAUGUUUAAGUCAGUUGUGAAAGUUUAAGGCUCAACCUUGAAAUUGCAGUUGAUACUGGAUAUCUUGAGUACAUUGAAUGUGGGCGGAAUUCGUGGUGUAGCGGUGAAAUGCUUAGAUAUCACGAAGAACUCCAAUUGCGAAGGCAGCUCACAGUAAUGUAACUGACGCUGAUGCUCGAAAGUGUGGGUAUCAAACAGGAUUAGAUACCCUGGUAGUCCACACAGUAAACGAUGAAUACUCGCUGUUUGCGAUAUACAGUAAGCGGCCAAGCGAAAGCGUUAAGUAUUCCACCUGGGGAGUACGCCGGCAACGGUGAA
rnacentral:rRNA from 1 species